GUUUUGAGUUGAAGUUCAGCAGUACGUCUGUCUGUAUUCACUCUAUUUUUCACGGCUCGCAGGAAAAGUUCCUCAUAUCUAAACAACACCUAUCUGGAUUGGGUACGACAGCUGACGGUGAUAGAUAGCUGGGUCCAGGAUAGGCCUCCUGAGGAGUUAUGUGCUGGCCCGGGACAAGGAGCCAGGUGCCUCCUCCUCGGACCCUCCACCUGUCGCUAAAGUGCUUGAGCGCUGAGGUCGACUCUCCCUGUACUGCACGUACAGGGACGCCCCACCAGCAGUGGUCCCCUCUUCCUGUCUCUCCUCCUCUCAGCAACCACUUCAACAUUGACUUCCCCUCCACAAGGACCGGGACCUUGCCGUGGUGUGGAGGUUUCAUACAAACACCGGUCCACCCACCCUGCAACAACUCUUCUACAGGACAGUGACACUACGUUUCUUUAAAAAAAAAAAAAAAAAA